rnacentral:lncRNA from 1 species
GGCGAAAAUGUGCUGUAUCCACAAUUGAUAAUAUAAGAAAACUAAAAACGCCAUUCUGUAGGGAAGGACCAUAUCUUUCAGAUCAGAUUGGUAUCAGAUUGGGAUCAGAUUGAAUCUUUAUUAUAGUUAGAAUAAAGAAAUUUAUUUGCUGUGGCUAAACCCACCAUGUCCGGCACAUUCUCUUUCACUCUCUAGUCGAAGCUAAAAUGUGCCAAAACUAAAUAAAUCUUCUGGAAGGGGUUGGUGUAGGCACUGCAAGUUAUGAAAAUAAUAAUGAUACAAUCUAAUCCUAAUUCAAUGAUCUGAUAGAUAUGGUUAUUCCCUACGGAAUGGGAUUUAUAGGUUUCUCUAAACUUUUAAAUUGUGGAUUCAGCUUAUUUUAGGUAGGGGCGGGGAGAAAUUUUGAAAUACACUUGUAACAGAGUGAGCAUACCGAAGUCUGGAUGCAAAACUUGGUUGCCCUUUCUCUUAUGGACUCUGAGAACCAGGCGCUCAUAAGGAAGGACAGACGGAUGGACGGACAAACAGACAUACAUUGCUAAAUCGACUCGGCUAUUGAUGCUGAUCAAGAAUAUAUGUAUAUACUUUGAGGGG